rnacentral:tRNA from 1 species
GCCCCCAUCGUCUAGUGGCCUAGGACACCGCCCUUUCAAGGCGGCAACAGGGAUUCGAAUUCCCUUGGGGGUACCA